rnacentral:rRNA from 1 species
AUUGAACGCUGGCGGCAGGCCUAACACAUGCAAGUCGAGCGAGCGGCGGACGGGUGAGUAAUGUCUGGGAAACUGCCUGAUGGAGGGGGAUAACUACUGGAAACGGUAGCUAAUACCGCCUACAAUCAGAUGUGCCCAGAUGGGAUUAGCUGGUGGGUGGGGUAACGGCUCACCUAGGCGACGAUCCCUAGAUGGUCUGAGAGGAUGACCAGCCCCACUGGAACGGAGACACGGUCCAGCCUCCUACGGGAGGAAGCAGUGGGGAAUAUUGCACAAUGGGCGCAAGCCUGAUGCAGCCAUGCCGCGUGUGUGAAGAAGGCCUUCGGGUUGUAAAGCACUGUCAGCGGGGAGGCGUUACCCGCAGAAGAAGCACCGGCUAACUCCGUGCCAGCCGCCGCGGUAAUAC